rnacentral:rRNA from 1 species
UACGUAGGGACCAAGCGUUGUCCGGAUUUAUUGGGCGUAAAGAGCUCGUAGGCGGUUGGGUAAGUCGGGUGUGAAAACUCCAGGCUCAACUUGGAGACGCCACCGAUACUGCUCUGACUUGAGUUCGGUAGGGGAGUGGGGAAUUCCUGGUGUAGCGGUGAAAUGCGCAGAUAUCAGGAGGAACACCGGUGGCGAAGGCGCCACUCUGGGCCGAAACUGACGCUGAGGAGCGAAAGCGUGGGAGCAAACAGG